AAAAUUGUGCAAAUUCAAUAUAUUGCAGGAGAUUAGUAGGCCU
rnacentral:ncRNA from 1 species